AGGGUGAAGAGCAAAAUAGAUCAACGCACAAGUAUAAUAGCAGGUUCUAGUUUUCCAAUUCGGGAACAAAUCGAAUUAUUUAAUGAAAUAUUUUGAUUUGUGUAUUGUGUAAGUUGACGAAGCGGGUUCGAUUCCCGCCUCGGCCACAUAUCUAUUUCAGUUUAUAAUUUUGUCAGUUUUGUUACAAUUUAUAGAAUUAAAUGGAAAUAUAUUAUUUUUACAAUGUUAUAAUUUAAUUGUGGUAUUUCUACUUAAUAACACACAUUUUUUUUAUCAAAAUAAUUUAAUAUGCCCUUAACUUAUCGGGUUUGUAACAAAAAUUUUGUCAUUUUUGUUAAAAUUAUCAGUUAAUAGUAUUUUUCAUAUAGCUUAGGUAUGGUGACAGCUGUCAUUUCCAUACAACUUAUAACCUUGAAACGCAAAAUAUGUUAAAUGACAGAUGUUACCGUAACGCGUACUACGUAGGCGAACAACGCGAACGCGAAGCGAAGCGAUGCGGCGCGGGGUGAAUCAAUCCUUUGAUACCUAUACAAGUGUCCUACGUGGGUGAUCUCGUUGCGAACGCGAACGCCGUGGCCCCGCCGCGCCGCUUCGCUUCGCGUUCGCAAGUUGUUCGCUUAAGUAACGCAGCGUAAAAUACUAAAGUAACGGAACCUAUGUAUGUUGUCUAUUUUACAUUUGACCCAUUAUUGUAAAUUGUAGACCUCAUACAACCAGCAUUAAUUAUGGGGCAUUUUCUAUGAAAAGGGACUUUAUUGUUGAUGGCGCUUGCGCACAGCGUCGCGCGGCAUUGUAUUUAUAUCGGAGCGUCGUUAAUAAUGGCGUAAGCGCCAUCGACAAUAAGGUCCCUUUUUAUAGAAAAUACCACAUAUAAUGGUCAUAGGAAUGACACUAAAGUUAUACCAUUUAGAUAUUAUAAAUAAAAAUCUGAUAAUAUUAUAAUUAAGGUCUUUGUUAAAUGUUUGCUACCCAGUAAAGUUAGGUGCCAUGCUGAAUGGCUUAGGGUGAGUCUGGGAGACUUGAACCAUUUAAAAAAACAGGACAAGUGCGAGUCGGACUCGCGCACCGAGGGUUCCGUACUUUUUAGUAUUUGUUGUUAUAGCGGCAACAGAAAUACAUCAUCUGUGAAAAUUUCAACUGUCUAGCUAUCACUGUUCAUGAGAUACAGCCUGGUGACAGACAGACAGAGGAGUCUUAGUAAUAGGAUACCGAUUUUACCCUUUGGGUACGGAACCCUAAAAAGGGCCAGAAACAAAAUACUGUGUGUUUCUCCAGAACGUUUGUUUAUUUAUGCAGAAACAAUAUUUUGAUUUUGGCACUUUUUUUUAUAAGGUUCAAGCUUUCCGGAUUUUUCCUACAUGAAUAUUAAUUAGUAAUUGUUAUACUUAUCUAGAAAGUGCUUAAAGUACUAUUGUGAUUACAUGUUAGAACUCAUAGAGGCAGAUGUUUAAAUCUUGUAUGUCGCAUGUGUCUUUCUGUCCUUUUUACCUUUAUAGUGCGGGGAAGGGACAGUAUGAGUUAAAUCUCAUCAUUGGCUUUGGCAUUUUUUAUUCGAAUUGUGGACCAUUAUUGUUUGUUGGAAGUUAACUUUUAUUCUUUUGUAAAAUGAUAAAAAAGUAAUAUAUCGAGGCCUAAAAAAUUACAUACAAUUUGACAUCUGACAACUGUCAAAUAAUAAAUGUGACCCAAAGUCGUUAGACAAUAUUAAUGUCCUGCAGAUAGCCAAUAUGUCACAAAAGCUUAAUAAUAAAGGCCCAUUUACUCGUAAUAUUUAUAUCUACUUUGUUGUAGAAAAGUGCGUCAUAGCAGGCGUGGCUCACUUCUCGAUUUCGUCGCGUCGCUACAAUUACAUGCGGCCCACACCAAUUUUGGUGUCUAGCCAUAAUUGCCGCGCACCGCUACGGAACGGACGUCGCUCACGCUUGCGCCACCUAGCGGUCAUAUCUUUCGUAAUAGACGCCUUUUGUUAGAGAGUGAAACUUCUGUACCUUAGUACUAUUAUUUAUUCUGUGGCCAUAGUUGGCUUCCAACAACAAUCUAUAUAGUGAGAAUGAAUACCAUUGAAUGAAUGAAAUCUUGUUAAUGAUAUCAUUCAAUCAGUCAUAUCAAUGUGAGCUUUUCACCAAAUUCUAAAAACACGGUUAUAUUUUAGAGUAGAAAUAAUGUAAAACAGUAAACUUUGAAACAAAUUAAAAGUGAAAACAUUCACCGUCAAACAACAAUCUUACGGUAGAUGUCGCUAGGGCCUCCCAAAGGAAAUAUGGUGGAAAUAUUCGCUAUAUUCGGUAAGGUCUUGGUAGCUCAGAUGGAAGAGCACCGGGCUAGCGAUCCGGUGAUCGUGGGUUCAAGUCCCACCCAAGACAGUUGAUCUUUCCACUUUUAAUUUGUUUCUAAGCUC